rnacentral:rRNA from 1 species
CUGCAGCCCAAGUGGUGAUCGAUAUUAUUGAGCCUAAAGCGUCCGUAGCCGGUUUGGUAAACCCUCGGGUAAAUCGAGCAGCUUAACUGUUCGAAUUCCGGGGGGACUGCCAGACUUGGGACCGGGAGAGGUCAGAGGUACUUCAGGGGUAGGGGCUAAAUCCUGUAAUCCUUGAAGGACCACCAGUGGCGAAGGCGUCUGACUAGAACGGACCCGACGGUAAGGGACGAAACCCUGGGGCGCAAACCGGAUUAGAUACCCGCGUAGUCC